AAACCCCCCAACAGUCAAUACCCGCGCGAGGCACGCCUGGCCCUAGGUUCAGACAGUCACGGCUAGCCAGAGGAUCUUCACAUUCAUUAUUGUAAAUUCAUGCCAUCUACAAAAUCCUUUUGGGCAUAGAUUUCAGAGCUAUUUGAAAGAGGAAGAAGGGCAAAAAAUGGAAGCGAGAACAAAAGGAAUAAGGCGGUCAAACAUGGGAUAGUCACAGGAAACAUGAGCACAUAACCAUAUCGAUAAAGGUUGAAUAAAGGGACACCAAUUUUAGUCCCAUAGGCAUCAUAGACCACGGGACAAAAGAGAAUAAGAAAAAUGCGGAAACGCCGGCAUCCGCCAAAACCAGUUAUAGUACUUCU
rnacentral:sRNA from 1 species